AUGAACGCUGGCGGCGUGCCUAAUACAUGCAAGUAGAACGCUGAAGGAAGGAGCUUGCUCUUUCCGGAUGAGUUGCGAACGGGUGAGUAACGCGUAGGUAACCUGCCUGGUAGCGGGGGAUAACUAUUGGAAACGAUAGCUAAUACCGCAUAACAGUAGAUGUUGCAUGAUAUCUACUUAAAAGGUGCAAUUGCACCACUACCAGAUGGACCUGCGUUGUAUUAGCUAGUUGGUGAGGUAACGGCUCACCAAGGCGACGAUACAUAGCCGACCUGAGAGGGUGAUCGGCCACACUGGGACUGAGACACGGCCCAGACUCCUACGGGAGGCAGCAGUAGGGAAUCUUCGGCAAUGGACGGAAGUCUGACCGAGCAACGCCGCGUGAGUGAAGAAGGUUUUCGGAUCGUAAAGCUCUGUUGUAAGAGAAGAACGAGUGUGAGAGUGGAAAGUUCACACUGUGACGAUAUCUUACCAGAAAGGGACGGCUAACUACGUG
rnacentral:rRNA from 1 species